GAUGAACGCUGGCGGCGUGCUUAACACAUGCAAGUCGAACGAUGAAGCCCAGCUUGCUGGGUGGAUUAGUGGCGAACGGGUGAGUAACACGUGAGUAACCUGCCCUUAACUCUGGGAUAAGCCUGGGAGACUGGGUCUAAUACAGGAUAGGAGCGUCCACCGCAUGGUGGGUGUUGGAAAGAUUUAUCGGUUUUGGAUGGACUCGCGGCCUAUCAGCUUGUUGGUGAGGUAAUGGCUCACCAAGGCGACGACGGGUAGCCGGCCUGAGAGGGUGACCGGCCACACUGGGACUGAGACACGGCCCAGACUCCUACGGGAGGCAGCAGUGGGGAAUAUUGCACAAUGGGCGAAAGCCUGAUGCAGCGACGCCGCGUGAGGGAUGACGGCCUUCGGGUUGUAAACCUCUUUCAGUAGGGAAGAAGCGAAAGUGACGGUACCUGCAGAAGAAGCACCGGCUAACUACGUG
rnacentral:rRNA from 1 species